CCUGAAAAUUACCGUAGAUGCCGGAAAAACUUCAAAGUGGUCGGAAUUGAAAAGUAAAAACAUGGGUAGGCUCGGAAUUUGAGGUUGAGCAAACUGUCCUGAAGAAAUUCUGGCCGGAAAGUACUGUAGCUGCCGGAAAAUUCAAUAAUGUCGCCGGAAAAACUGAAAGUUGUCGGAAUCGAACGAAACAAGGAUGGGUAGGUUCGGAAAAUAAGGCCGACCAAACUGUCCUUCUGGAGCGAAGUGAAAAAACUGGCCGGAAAAGGCUCCACGCGCCGGCGCGUGGUCUGACACGCCGACAGCUGUGGUGGCGCGUGGUGGCGCGUGGCGGCGCGUGUGGAGGUAUCUGCCGGAGAAAUUUCUGGGGUUUGGUCGGAAUUAUAUUCCGAGUCUUGUGGUGGUGUUGGUUUUUGCACAACACUNNNN
rnacentral:lncRNA from 1 species